CACGUAGGGCGCAAGCGUUGUCCGGAAUUAUUGGGCGUAAAGAGCUCGUAGGCGGUCUGUUGCGUCCGCUGUGAAAACCCGGGGCUUAACCCUGGGCUGGCAGUGGAUACGGACAGACUAGAGGUAGGUAGGGGAGAAUGGAAUUCCCGGUGUAGCGGUGAAAUACGCAGAUAUCGGGAGGAACACCGGUGGCGAAGGCGGUUCUCUGGGCCUUACCUGACGCUGAGGAGCGAAAGCGUGGGGAGCGAACAGG
rnacentral:rRNA from 1 species